rnacentral:rRNA from 1 species
CCUACGGGGGGCAGCAGUGGGGAAUAUUGGACAAUGGGCGAAAGCCUGAUCCAGCCAUGCCGCGUGUGUGAAGAAGGCCUUCGGGUUGUAAAGCACUUUCAGUGGGGAAGAAAGCCUUGGGGCUAAUACCCUCGAGGAAGGACAUCACCCACAGAAGAAGCACCGGCUAACUCCGUGCCAGCAGCCGCGGUAAUACAGGAGGGUGCGAGCGUUAAUCGGAAUUACUGGGCGUAAAGCGCGCGUAGGCGGUCUGAUAAGCCGGUUGUGAAAGCCCCGGGCUCAACCUGGGAACGGCAUCCGGAACUGUCAGGCUAGAGUGCAGGAGAGGAAGGUAGAAUUCCCGGUGUAGCGGUGAAAUGCGUAGAGAUCGGGAGGAAUACCAGUGGCGAAGGCGGCCUUCUGGACUGACACUGACGCUGAGGUGCGAAAGCGUGGGUAGCAAACAGGAUUAGAUACCCCAGUAGUC